UACGAAGGGGGCUAGCGUUGUUCGGAAUUACUGGGCGUAAAGCGCACGUAGGCGGGUUGUUAAGUCAGGGGUGAAAUCCCGGAGCUCAACUCCGGAACUGCCUUUGAUACUGAGGAUCUUGAGUUCGGGAGAGGUGAGUGGAACUGCGAGUGUAGAGGUGAAAUUCGUAGAUAUUCGCAAGAACACCAGUGGCGAAGGCGGCUCACUGGCCCGAUACUGACGCUGAGGCACGAAAGCGUGGGGAGCAAACAGG
rnacentral:rRNA from 1 species